rfam:Streptomyces sp. WM6386 contig37.1, whole genome shotgun sequence.
CUUCCGCCUUCCCCGCACAGGAAGGCGGACCGAGGAACCGGUGCUCUCUGCCCUGACUGCCCCGGCUCCUCAUCCUUCGGCCGAUCGGGACCGCACACCCCGCGGCCGUUGUUGCUCCGGGCUGCGGUGCCGAGAGGGUUGAGGGUCCCUCUCAGGCGC